rnacentral:rRNA from 1 species
AUGAGUCUUGGGUGUGUGCAUCUUGAAUGUGUGCUAUUCGUGUGGGUGCCCCCAUGUGUGUCUGCGGGACGUGUAUGGAAGCGUGAGAAGAGUGAUGGCCAUGAAGACUAUGGUCUCCUUGUUAGUGAGCCAGCCAGGAAAUAUGCCAUAGUCAAAGAGCUUGACAGCCCUGUUACUUUGAAGGAUGGGGCAGUUGUCCUGCAGUUUGAAGUGAGGCUUCAGAAUGGCCUCAAGUGUGGAGGUCCGUUCGCCGCUCCCGCUCCAGCAAAUUUAGUUGAUUCUCUGAUGGAGCGCUAA